rnacentral:lncRNA from 1 species
GAAGAUCAAGCUCCUGCUGUGGCAGAUCAGUUGCAGAUAUUUCAAGAAGCCCUGAGGGAACAGCAAGAGGGUCUAGAACGCCAGAGAGUUGCUCAAGAGACAUUGGAAACCAAGGUGGAUGGUUUAGUUUCCAAUGUGGGAUCUUUGAAUGAUAAAUUCGACCAACUCUUAGCCUUUCUUAAGAAACCCUAGGAUUCUCUGC